AUGACGAGUGGCGGACGGGUGAGUAAUGCUUGGGAACUUGCCUUUGCGAGGGGGAUAACAGUUGGAAACGACUGCUAAUACCGCAUAAUGUCUUCGGACCAAACGGGGCUUCGGCUCCGGCGCAAAGAGAGGCCCAAGUGAGAUUAGCUAGUUGGUAAGGUAACGGCUUACCAAGGCGACGAUCUCUAGCUGUUCUGAGAGGAAGAUCAGCCACACUGGGACUGAGACACGGCCCAGACUCCUACGGGAGGCAGCAGUGGGGAAUAUUGCACAAUGGGGGAAACCCUGAUGCAGCCAUGCCGCGUGUGUGAAGAAGGCCUUCGGGUUGUAAAGCACUUUCAGUUGUGAGGAAAAGUUAGUAGUUAAUACCUGCUAGCCGUGACGUUAACAACAGAAGAAGCACCGGCUAACUCCGUGCCAGCAGCCGCGGUAAUACGGAGGGUGCGAGCGUUAAUCGGAAUUACUGGGCGUAAAGCGCACGCAGGCGGUUUGUUAAGCUAGAUGUGAAAGCCCCGGGCUCAACCUGGGAUGGUCAUUUAGAACUGGCAGACUAGAGUCUUGGAGAGGGGAGUGGAAUUCCAGGUGUAGCGGUGAAAUGCGUAGAUAUCUGGAGGAACAUCAGUGGCGAACGCGACUCCCUGGCCAAGGACUGACGCUCAUGUGCGAAAGUGUGGGUAGCGAACAUGAUUAGAUACCCUGGUAGUCCACACCGUAAACGCUGUCUACUAGCUGUGUGUGUCUUUA
rnacentral:rRNA from 1 species